GACAGAGGGUGCGAACGUUGUUCGGAAUUACUGGGCGUAAAGCGCGUGUAGGCGGCUCGGCAAGUCGGGUGUGAAAGCCCUGGGCUUAACCUAGGAAGUGCACUCGAAACUGCCAAGCUUGAGUUCUGGAGAGGAAGGCGGAAUUCUCGGUGUAGAGGUGAAAUUCGUAGAUAUCGAGAGGAACACCGGUGGCGAAGGCGGCCUUCUGGACAGCAACUGACGCUGAGACGCGAAAGCGUGGGGAGCAAACAGG
rnacentral:rRNA from 1 species